ACAUGCUUACAACAUAGCGUUAAUGCAUUGGAUCCCAUUAGAACUUUGCAGUUAAGCGCACUUGGGCUAGAGUAGUAUUGAGAUGGGUGACCACCUAAGAAUUCCUAGUGUUUUACAUGCC
rnacentral:rRNA from 1 species